rnacentral:rRNA from 1 species
GACAGAGGGUGCAAACGUUGUUCGGAAUUACUGGGCGUAAAGCGUGUGUAGGCGGCCGCACAGGUCGGAUGUGAAAUCCCCGGGCUCAACUCGGGAAGUGCACCCGAAACUGUGUGGCUUGAGUACCGGAGAGGUUGGUGGAAUUCUCGGUGUAGAGGUGAAAUUCGUAGAUAUCGAGAGGAACACCGGUGGCGAAGGCGGCCAACUGGACGAGUACUGACGCUGAGACACGAAAGCGUGGGGAG